UUUAUGGAGAGUUUGAUCCUGGCUCAGGAUGAACGCUGGCGGCGUGCCUAAUACAUGCAAGUCGAGCGAACGGACGAGAAGCUUGCUUCUCUGAUGUUAGCGGCGGACGGGUGAGUAACACGUGGAUAACCUACCUAUAAGACUGGGAUAACUUCGGGAAACCGGAGCUAAUACCGGAUAAUAUUUUGAACCGCAUGGUUCAAAAGUGAAAGACGGUCUUGCUGUCACUUAUAGAUGGAUCCGCGCUGCAUUAGCUAGUUGGUAAGGUAACGGCUUACCAAGGCAACGAUGCAUAGCCGACCUGAGAGGGUGAUCGGCCACACUGGAACUGAGACACGGUCCAGACUCCUACGGGAGGCAGCAGUAGGGAAUCUUCCGCAAUGGGCGAAAGCCUGACGGAGCAACGCCGCGUGAGUGAUGAAGGUCUUCGGAUCGUAAAACUCUGUUAUUAGGGAAGAACAUAUGUGUAAGUAACUGUGCACAUCUUGACGGUACCUAAUCAGAAAGCCACGGCUAACUACGUGCCAGCAGCCGCGGUAAUACGUAGGUGGCAAGCGUUAUCCGGAAUUAUUGGGCGUAAAGCGCGCGUAGGCGGUUUUUUAAGUCUGAUGUGAAAGCCCACGGCUCAACCGUGGAGGGUCAUUGGAAACUGGAAAACUUGAGUGCAGAAGAGGAAAGUGGAAUUCCAUGUGUAGCGGUGAAAUGCGCAGAGAUAUGGAGGAACACCAGUGGCGAAGGCGACUUUCUGGUCUGUAACUGACGCUGAUGUGCGAAAGCGUGGGGAUCAAACAGGAUUAGAUACCCUGGUAGUCCACGCCGUAAACGAUGAGUGCUAAGUGUUAGGGGGUUUCCGCCCCUUAGUGCUGCAGCUAACGCAUUAAGCACUCCGCCUGGGGAGUACGACCGCAAGGUUGAAACUCAAAGGAAUUGACGGGGACCCGCACAAGCGGUGGAGCAUGUGGUUUAAUUCGAAGCAACGCGAAGAACCUUACCAAAUCUUGACAUCCUUUGACAACUCUAGAGAUAGAGCCUUCCCCUUCGGGGGACAAAGUGACAGGUGGUGCAUGGUUGUCGUCAGCUCGUGUCGUGAGAUGUUGGGUUAAGUCCCGCAACGAGCGCAACCCUUAAGCUUAGUUGCCAUCAUUAAGUUGGGCACUCUAAGUUGACUGCCGGUGACAAACCGGAGGAAGGUGGGGAUGACGUCAAAUCAUCAUGCCCCUUAUGAUUUGGGCUACACACGUGCUACAAUGGACAAUACAAAGGGCAGCGAAACCGCGAGGUCAAGCAAAUCCCAUAAAGUUGUUCUCAGUUCGGAUUGUAGUCUGCAACUCGACUACAUGAAGCUGGAAUCGCUAGUAAUCGUAGAUCAGCAUGCUACGGUGAAUACGUUCCCGGGUCUUGU
rnacentral:rRNA from 1 species